GUGCUCACAUCAGCAUCAUGUACACUAAAACUAGAAUGAUACAGAGAAGAUUAGCAUGGCCCCUGUUCGAAAAGAUGAUCUGUGUACCACCCACGUCAACCUGCGGGUU